CGAAUGGGGAGAUUCAUCGUCAACGACGCUGGCUCCCGUUGAUGCGCGAUGCCCCGGACGCGUGUCGGGACCCUUCGGGGUUUCCGCGCCGUUAGCGAGGGCACACCAUCAUCGGCGAACGUUCCGGCGAAGUAGUCGUGCACUUCUCCCCUAGUAGAACGUCGCGACCCGUUGCGUGUCGGUCUACGGUCCCGAGGCGGAGCCUGUCCGUCGUCCUUUCGGGCGUUCGCGACAGACCCUCGGUGCUUGCCCGGCCGACUGCGCGACGGUACUCGAUAAACGGUAUCGGGCCGCAACCAAUCCAUUCUCGCGAAUGCGUGUGUGCGUCAGGACCGCCGCAAGCUCGGUUCCAGCAGUAUACCCGGAUGUACGGACUAUGCGCCGUACCCGGGCCUGGCCGGCUGUUGGCGCGCGGAGUCCUUGGACUGGCCAAACUCCCUCGAAUUACCGGUCGGCGACGCUAUUGCUUUGGGUACUCUCAGGACCCGUCUUGAAACACGGACCAAGGAGUCUAACAUGUACGCGAGUCAUUGGGAUAUAUAAGAUAAACCUAAAGGCGAAAUGAAAGUGAAAGUCGUCCUUUGCGUCGACCUAGGGAGGAUGGGCCUCGUUACGAUUAGGCCUCGCACUCCCGGGGCGUCUCGUUCUCUGAUCGAUUUAUAUCAAUUAGAGAAGAGGCGCACCUAGAGCGUACACGUUGGGACCCGAAAGAUGGUGAACUAUGCCUGGUCAGGACGAAGUCAGGGGAAACCCUGAUGGAGGUCCGUAGCGAUUCUGACGUGCAAAUCGAUCGUCGGAACUGGGUAUAGGGGCGAAAGACUAAUCGAACCAUCUAGUAGCUGGUUCCCUCCGAAGUUUCCCUCAGGAUAGCUGGCACUCGUUCGAAACAUAUUGUGUGCGAGUCUCAUCUGGUAAAGCGAAUGAUUAGAGGCCUUGGGGCCGAAACGACCUCAACCUAUUCUCAAACUUUAAAUGGGUGAGAUCUCUGGCUUGCUUGGAUUUCAAAUGAAGCCACGAGAUUUUAUUAUAUUAUUGUGAUAAAAAAAUGGAUCAAGAGUGCCAAGUGGGCCAAUUUUGGUAAGCAGAACUGGCGCUGUGGGAUGAACCAAACGCAGAGUUAAGGCGCCUAAGUCGACGCUUAUGGGAUACCAUGAAAGGCGUUGG
rnacentral:rRNA from 1 species